UACGGAGGAUCCGAGCGUUAUCCGGAUUUAUUGGGUUUAAAGGGUGCGCAGGCGGGAGAUUAAGUCGGCGGUGAAAUUUUGCAGCUCAACUGUAAAAGUGCCUUCGAAACUGGUUUCCUUGAGUGUGGAUGAAGUAGGCGGAAUUUGUGGUGUAGCGGUGAAAUGCAUAGAUAUCACGAGGAACUCCGAUUGCGCAGGCAGCUUACUAAACCAUAACUGACGCUCAGGCACGAAGGCGUGGGGAUCAAACAGGAUUAGAUACUCGU
rnacentral:rRNA from 1 species